UCUCUCUCUCAAACAUAAACAUUAAAAAAAAAACAGAUCUGAGCUGAGAUCAAGAGUUGAACAUUCAACCUGUUGAACUACCCAGGUGCCCCGUGCCAGGCACUUUUACAGACCUUUCCUUGUACUGUCUCACUCCUCCUCAGGUCAGUGCUGCUAUCCCCAGGUUUCAAAUCUGCAAAGCGAGGCAUGAAGAGAUUCAGUUGAUAAGGGUCUUCAUCUGAUGCUCAGAGCUGGCAUCCACACCCAGGCUGUCUCCUGCUUCCCUGAGGGUAUUUCUUUCUCCUGGGGAGAGGUGCAACAGGAAAUCUGAGAUCAGAGACUCUAGACCACCUGGGCUGAGUCCUGGGCUCUGGACUCUUCCUCUGUCUCCUCUGCGGGCCUGCGUGGGGACAGAGUUCAUAGGGGUUCCCUCUGCCAACGCACACUCUUUAUGGAUGACAUUCUGACUCCUCACUUGCAGGGGUGGUUCCUGCCCUCCUGCUGGGCUCAGGGGUUCUGGCCUUCAGCAGGAGGGAUUGAGGCGCUGAGGAGGUAAGUAACUCAUCCACACUCCUGCAGCUCAGACCUGGUUGCAGUGAGCUGCUUCUUUGUGCUGACUGUUUUCAACACGUUGCAUUAGGUUUGUUUUUCUGUUGAGUACAGCAGAACUGUGACCCAAAGUACUUCAGAAUAAUUUUUGUCCCUGGUCGAAGCCACACCACUGUCCCAUGCAGUUCCAGCCCUGGUUUGAAGGGCAAUGUUGUUCACUACCUAACGUCUGACCUUAGGCUCUCAGUCACCCCUCAGAUGUGUGGACAUGGCUUCCGAAAAUAAGGGAAGGCGUGUUUUUGUUGAUUUUACCAACCCACUCUGUUGAGGCAUUGAGGUUCAUUUCCUCUGUCCUAGGCCAGCAACAUCCUCAAGUGCGCUGUAGAAGCUGCCUUCGUGGCCAAGCCUGUGUGGUGGGUGCCUGCUCAGGCCACCAUGUUGUGGACACGCUUUGCCCCAAACAUUCCCAUCCUGACCUGCAAAGAGUGUGCCAGGUGGAAGAGGGAGCGGCCAGAACAUACAGAUUCUCCCUACCCCAAGACUGAGUGUGGUCAGUGAGGGGCUGGGGAGACAGUGUCCCUGACGUGCUGGGGCCUAGAGGUCUCUCACCCUGUCUAUGGCUCAGUCAGGCCCUGGGGACCUGAGGACCCUCUGCAAAUUGGAGCUUUGCAGUCAGAAAGUCUGGUGGAAAGCAGAUGAUAGCAUUAGGAUGGCAGGGACAAAGGUCCACCUCACUGUGCUGGCCCACAAAGCGCUCAGUGCUGCCCAGGAAGGGCCUCGUGGAUGGCGGGCACAGGCCCUUGUGGUGUUGCGAGGUUUCACAGGUGGUUUUCAUUUAGGAUGAAGGUGUUUCAUUCAUGCAGUCUGUGCCCUGUACCACUUUAUCCCCAAGAGCACAGCACCGAGAACGAGUCCUGGGUCUCCUCUCCAGCUUUGCCUUCACAUCAGCAGGUUGGGCUGGGUCAGGAAGACCACGUGUGGCGGUCCCUGAGGCUUUCCUGAGGCGUGAUCACACCCCUGCUCUUAGGUUGGCGUUUGAUGUGGCCCCAGUGCUCCCUCCUGAGCGGUGCAUGUCUGGCACCAUCCAGCUGUGUCGUCCUGUUCUGGGGUCUGCGUGAAACAGUGGCCUUCCCCAGGAGGAGUGGGCCUUUGUCAGAGCACUUCAGGCCCAAGGUCUGUAGGUGCUGUGGGGCCAUCUGUGCUGUGUGGAUGAGGUGGUGUGACCUGCCAGGUUAAGGGACUCAUGCACCAAGUUAAGGGUGCUGCUGGGCACUGGGUCCCUGCUGCAUGCCCUCUGUGGGUGUCUGCCUCUGCCCAGUGAGUUUACUUUCUGUAGGGGAUGCUGAUUAGUACCCAGUUUAAGAAGGGUUCACUCACCAUAUCAGCUGGCUUUCCUCGGACCAUCCGUUCUCCUGGGGUUGUAGUGCUCUAUGGAUGUGGUCCAUGGACCCUCCUUGGUUACGCUGGGCUUAGGUGCGCGAGUUUGGACCGCAAAUGCUGUCCGAGGUUGUGGUCCUCAGUGUGCUGUGGGUGUCACAGGCAUGGCCCUCCUUUAAGAAGCUGCGUGUGUUACCGGGGGACAGCAGGGGUCUCUGGGAUCAGUCGCUUCCCUGACCUCACCUUACAGGUGGGGAAGAAAGGGCAUGAGUGGGUGCAUUUACCCAGGUGGCUGCAGGCAGUGCGCAGGCAGGCCUCCAGGUCACAGCAUCCUCAUCGCAGUGACUGAGUGUUAGCACAUUUCAGGGCCUUGUGGAAGCCGUGUCUGUCAUUCACCACUUGUCCACCUGUCUGUCCGUUAUGUUGCAUCUCCUGGUUUUCUUCAGACGUUGACUCCAGCCAUGUUGUGUGCAGCUCUCUCUCUCCCCUCUCUCCCUCUACCCCUCCCCGUCUCUCUGUAUCUACAUCUGAGGCAUAUAGAUUUACCUGUGUUGGGCUUGGGGGUGGCCGGGGCCUCCUGCCCAGGGAACACGGCCAGAGGUCAUGAAAACAUGUGACCCUCUGCAUUCUCAGCCUGUUCAACAGUGUGGCUGUUCUCCCUGGUGGUUCUACCACUGCCUUCCAUUCUGUUGCUAAGUUGGGGGACCUGCUUGCUUAGAUCUUUCUCCUCAAGACAGACCCAGAAAAAUUACCAGAGCUUCAGACUCCUGCUCUCACCUGAUAAACUUGCCCUUAAGUGCCAGCUAUGGGAGAGGGAUGCUCUUUGUAUCUUGCACAGGCAAGGUGUUUGGAGCCACUGCGGGUUGUCUAAGAAACAUGCCUGUGGAGGGCUGCGAGGAGGAGGGACUGAGGUUUCAGCACCAAUGAGAGAGAGCAGUGAGACCAUGCAAAUAGAAGUAACGAAGUGCUCAUCUUCAAAUAAAACAGUGUAGGUGAAAGAGGGAACAAGAAAUCAAAGCAUUUUCAGCAGAAGAGCUUCUGUUUAUAAUUUAACCCUGAAAUUGACAAGGCAGAUGCUAUCUUUACUUUGCUUCCUGUGUGGUUGGUUCUGUUCCAGAAGAAGACUUCCAUAAGGAAACAGGAGCAGGUUGUCUCUAAAGACCUCUGGAGUAGCUGCCUGUCAGCGUCCUUUGUUCUCCCAAGUAGACUCUGCAGGAGUCCCCAUGCUUGGUCUUGCCCCUCACAGUUUGUCAUCCACACGCUCCUCUCUGUGGGACAGGGCCACUUCCAUCAGCCUUGGUCACAGCUGUGGGCCCCUGGCCAGACAUCCACCUCCCACUGCACGCCAGCACACACAUCGUGUGUGAGUCUUCUCUGUGGCGGUAGUCACUUGGCUUGGAACUCCUUUGAUAGGGUACAGAGGACAUCUCCUCCACAUGGCCUGUGUCCCUGUGGGUCAGAAGCUACAACUUCUCAAGAAGAAAGGAAGAACCGUCAUUUAAACUGAGCCCAUCCCUGCCACCGGGAGACCCCAUGAGACAAGGAAAGACUCCUUUCUCCCCAGAAACACUUCUGUCUUGCAAACACUGCUGAACGAAGGCCUGCAGAUGGGUUCUGGAAGUCAGAACAUCUGGGAGAUACACAUCACAGAUGUGCUUCCCUUGUGCAGAUUCAACCUGAUGUGCUGGGACAACAGACAGACACCAGCACGUGUACGUAAGCAUGUGAGACUGGGCAUGGUAAGCAGUUUGUCCACAGUUCACCGAGGGAGCAGGUGCCCUGCAGGGAGCACGACAUGGGAGCCGUGACACCAAGGAUUCUUCCCUGGCCCAUCUCGGACCUCAGUGAGAGGGAAGGAUAGGUCUCUUCAUAAAGCAUGGCCUCUAGGUGAGUCAGUUCUCAUCUGCUGUUCUGAGCAACAGUGACGAUUCUGAGGUGGCCCAGCUGGCCUGAGGGCCUACACGGAGGCCUGUGUGACCAGAGAAGUGAUUGCCAAGCCGUGAUGGCCCAGGUCCUGUGGGAUGUGUGAGCCAUUAGAAGGGCGUUGGAUUUUGAUCCGGAAGAGAGCAGGUUCUAAAAGAGUGUGAACGUGACUUCCUCUGUAACAAGGGAGGAGCUGUGUGGAUCUCCUGUGACCAGGGGAAAAGGGAGGAGCUGGGUGGAUCCUCCAUGAUGAGGGAGGAGGGGAACCCAGUGGGUCUGGGGAGAACAGCGAGGUCAGGGAGCUCAUUCAGGUGCUGGCUCAGAGCACGGUGGUUGGAUUUGACUGGUUUGGAGGUCGACCUGAAAGGGUUUGCUGGGAGGUGAGAUGAAAGUAAGAGAGGAUGUGGUUGCAGAUGACCCCACGGUUCCCCACGCUCGCGGGAUGGAUGGUAUCGCUGCUUCAGAGAAGGUGGUCGGGGAGAGGCUCCGGCUUUGGAGAGACGUUGGGAACCCCGCCUUGGAUGUGCCCUGCGGGUCCACGCGAGAUCCAUGGACCAAAUUCUAAACCUGAGGGAUGUGUGCUGCUUGGAGCACAGGCAAGAAUGCAGAACUUUCUUUAGUGGGAAGUGCUCUGGGGCCCGAGACGUGCAGAGGCUGCCUCUUGAUGCUGGAGAGAGAGAGAGAGCACGAGCAGAGCAGACAGCGAGGAGGACAUAAGAUCUGAAGCAGGCUCUGUGAGCACAGAGCCCGAUGUAGGACUCGAACUCGAAAGCCAUGAGAUUAUGACCUGAGCUGAAGUCAGAUGCUCAACCGACUGAGUCCCCCGGGCAUCCCAAUUGCUCACACUAUUUCAGGUUUGGCCACUGGGUGCCCUUUCUGUUGGUGCCAGGGCCCCUCUGUGUGUGUGUGUGUGCUGGUCCUCCCAGGGGCCCGGCUCCUCUGACUGGAGCAGCCUCCCAAACCCAGAUCUGUGUGUGUGGUGUGCCCGUUGUUAAUUCUCUUCAAGUAGGUUGUAAGGCUGGACAAAUACCUGUUUUCAUUUACCCCCGUCUUUGUCAUUACCCGUCUUCUUCAUGUCUUUGUGUAGCUCUUUAUUUCUACCUUGUAUCAUGUUUUUUUCCAGAAGAACUUUCUUUAGCCCUUCUUAUACUGUGGCUUUUGUUUGUGUGAAAAAGUAUUAUUUCUCUUUGUGACAGAUGUUUUAACUAAGUAGAAUUUUGGAUGGACGGUUUUUUCUUUCCCUACUAUAAUGAUGUCAUUCCAUUGUCUUUUGUCCUGCAUAGUUUCUGUGGGAAAUCUGCUGUAAUUCCCAUUUUUGUUCCACUUGCUAGAAAUUCGUAGAACCCUCUGGAAUUAGCCAGUGCCAGUGAGAACAUUUAUCGAGUGCUUACUUGGAUCGGGUGCUUUGUUUCCCGUGACUGCUUGUGCGUUUCUCCCCAACCCCUUCAACAGGGAGGUGUUGCUGAUGGCAGUAAAGGUUAUAGGAAAGAAGCCGAGGGUUGUGGAGAUGAACAGGUCUGCUCAUGGCUGCUUCCAAGAGGCACGGGGCCUGGCUGCCUGACCCCAGAGCCUGAAUCCUAACCAGAGCACUCCAUUCAGACCAUGCAGAAGCUUGAGGAGCAGACUGAGCUCAUCCGCAUCUGGGUAAAAUGCCAUUUCCAUUCUCAGACGUGCUAGGGCAUUGCAGUGUGGGAGAUGGGCCUAUGCUGCAUUCCUGCUUAGCUUUUCACAGGCUCUGUGACUUUGCGUGUGUCCUGUGGCCUUGCUGGGUUUACCUUUUCACCUCUAAAAUGGGUGAGGGUGGCUGGCUGCCUGCCAUUUGCUCUGGGUUAGGAUUAAGUUGUGUGGCCUGUGGCACAUCAGCUGCAUAGCGCCUGGCGCUGCAGUCAGCCCAUGGAGGGUCUCUUUGUUGGGCUUUGCUCAGGGCACAUCAGUUGAAUCGGUGAAUUGAGUGUUUGCUCAAACCACAUCGGUUUCCCCAUUCACAGCCUAGAGUUGCAGCUUACAGUGCACACCCCAGUGUCCUGCCUCAGGCAACAUCCUCUGAUCGGCUCCUCCUGCUGUGCUUGCCUUUCUGGAGCAUGGCCCUAGCAGCGUCAUUUCAGAGCUCACUGAGUGGCUUUCUGUGGUUCCUUACUCAGAUACAGAGUGCUGCUACCCCAGAGCAGUGACCAUGGGCGGGCCCCCACCUUCCUCCUGCCUCGUACCUUCUGCCUGUGGUUCUGAGAACCUGCUUCGUGGUCAUACCAACCUCAGGGCUCCUGUGAAGUGUACUUCCUUUGAUUAAAACCUUACUUCCUAGAAUCAUCUAUAUUAAAAAACAACAACAAAACCCCAUAGACCUCAUUUAAUAGGAAAUACUUUAUAAACCAUAAAGCCCUGGGUAAGCAUUUGAUGUUUUCAUCUGUGCUCCUUGUGCCUGUCUCCUCCACAAACAUUUUUAAGUGCUUUCCCUGGGCUGAGCACCACACCGGGCCUGGGGCCCUGGUUCUUGGGGAGCUCCCAGUACCCCAGUGUCUGCAAGCAGAUUUCAUGGUCAUCCUUCACUACCGGGGAGGCAGUGUGCUUACUCUGGGGCUGUGAGUGGUGGGCAGGGCAGCCAUCCAAGGAGGGCCUUGGCAGAGGAGGGAAAAGGUGUGAGGCAAACAAGUGGCACCCGUGAGCCCUGGGGUCCCUGCGUGGGGGUUGUUGCUGGUGUCUGGGGUUUCCUUGUGGGGUCCCAGGGAAGCUAUGGGACAGUAACUUCUCGGGAAAUCAGUUGGUUGGGAGCACAUACCUUAAAAACUCUGCCUGUUUAUCAUUCAAGGCCUGAAUCUGUGGGCUCCCUCCUCCAUGAAGCCUGCCUAAGCCUCCCUCCUUGGAGGCCAGCGGUCUGGUUGCCUCUCUCUCCAUCCAGCCUGCAGCCAGUGUACCUAGGGCACCUGUUCGGUGACUUUGUGCAGGCUGUCCCUCCCCAGGUCUUUGGGAGCCUGCACUUUAUUAGGCAAGACCCACACGAACAUAGAUAGCUACACGAUUACUGGAUGACAGUAGUGAUAGAGAUUUUCCAAAGGAGAAGACCAGGCUUGUGUGGGCUUGUGUGAAUGUGUUUAGUAGACAGCGGGGCAUUCAGUGAGUCCCCCAGGCUUGCUGAGUCCCGUCCCCUCACUGCCGGAUGUCACCAACACCGAGCAGGUAGGGUUGUUGAAGAUGGAUGGCGCUCUGGCCGCGUGCAGCCCAGCGCAUGGCAUCUGGGUCAUGAUUGAUGAUGAAGGAAAAAUAGCAUGGUCAGUAGUUAAGUCUUGCCUUUUGUCUCAGUCAUCUCUCACUUCUAAGUCCCUUGAAGGGAAGCCCCUGUCUCUGUACCUGCUGCAGCCCCAGUCUUGGGGUGGAGAGGGGGAGCGUGGGGUGCCAAGCUAGGGGAUUGGAGGAGAGGACAGGCCACAGCAGCUGGACCAGGUUAGGUAUUAAUGUCUGCAUUCAGCUGACUGGCUGGACAGGACUGAGGUGGGUCAUCUACAUUGCAGAUCUCAUUGAAAAUAACGAAUACAGCAACUCCUGAACAAUUUUUGCAUAAGUUAGAAAUAUGUUUCAGAAUGUUCUAUCCAUGUGAGAUGGGGAUGACUGAGCCCCAGGGAAGGGUAAGUAGAGCAUUCUGGAAUAACCAAGGAAGAGUUUCGAAGGGGUUAUACUUGUAGUAUUUUAUUGAACCACAAAAUGUUAUUUAUAACCCAUGCCAGGGGCAAUUAAACUGAUUGAUGAUUAAGAAAGUCUAAUAGUUGAAUAAUAAGAUGCAGUUCUUGACAGCUAUUUUUUCUCAUUUUGGAAGCAUAUGAGUCUAAUAAGGGUGUGGAGGAUGCACUGUGGAAUAUAUUGUGGUGUAAUUAUGUGGCGGUGAUACAAUAUUCAGUGUAGUGUUAGGUGCUACAUUACUUACAAAAAUUAAAAUACCAAUUAUGGCUUUCUGAUUUAUUAUUGAGGUGGUGUGUUAAUUUUGACUUGCCCCAAGCAGGGUUAAUUAGUACAUAUUGACAUAUUUGAUUAAAAGUCCCCUACUGUUGAAUUGAAUAAGAAAGGUCAAACAAGUAACUUGUUUUCCCUGGCCACCCCGCGUGGUGUGAGAAUUCCAGCAACUUCCAUGGGCCUACCUGAAGGGUUUGCUUGGAUUGGUAGCUCCCUCCGUGCCCUGGGACCACUGAGGCCUGCCCUCUAUUGUUAAAGCGGCCCUUGCCUCUCUCCUUGGUGCGUGCCAGGGUUUUGUGUGGUGUUUCUCUUUAAGAACCACUUCUUAAUGUUUGUAAAAAGCAGACAUAUGGUUAAAAAAUGCUUUUUAAAAAAAGCAGAGAUGUUACAAAGUCGCAAACACAAUGACUAAUAAACUAAAAGUGUAGCUUUGUAAGUAAUGAAAAUGCAAAUUGAACCAAGAACGCAGUUCUAUUUUUGUCUAUCAAAUUAGCCACUAUUAAUAAGGCUAAUACUCGGUGCUUUCAGGUGAGGUGAGAUUGACACCCUGUAAUCUUCCAGUGGAACUUCUCUGGGAAGCACUUUGGUGCUCAUUGGAAGGCCUGUCAGAAGGCCGGUGCCACCUUGUCUGCAGGAAGUAGAGAGAUGCCGGGGAGACUGGGGUGUGGGAACUCAUGCCGUGGCGUUUGAUCCAGUAGGAGCUGUAGACGGCGCCGAUGCCCAGCCUUCAGGGGAGUUCCAACCAGUUGUGGGUCAGUGAUGUCCAUGCAGGCUUAAAUCUGAUUUCCUAAGAAAUGCUUUUCCUCUUUUAAUGUUUAUUUAUUUUUAGGAGAGAGAGACAGACAGAGCGUGAGCAGGGGAGGGGCAGAGAGAGAAGGAGACAGAAUCUGAAGCAGGCUCCAGUGAGCCCGAUGAGGGGCUCAAACUCAUGAACUUGAGAUCAUGACCUGAGCCGAAGUCAGAUGCUUAACUGACUGAGCCACCCAGAGCCCCAAGAAAUGCUUUCUCAAGAAGGAAAAGGUGACCAGGGUAUGAAUAAACCGAUAGGACAGAAAGCUUUAUAGGUAGUCUCAAUUCUGGGUUAUUAAAAAAAUGUGUGUACAUAUGAAUAUUAUGGACUAAAUUGUUUUCCUUCCCCAAAUUCAUCUGUUGGGCAUCUAAGCCCCAGAACGUCAGAAUGUGGCUAAAUUUGGAGAGGCGGUCUUUACAGAGACAAGGUUAAGCGAAGUCAUAGAGAGGCCCUAAUCCAGUAUGAAUCGGCCUUGUAAGGAGAGGAGGUCAGGACACAAACACAGAGAAAACCCUGUGAAGACGCAGGGAGAAGACGGACUCCUGCAAGCUGGGGAGGGACCAGCACUGGUCACUAUGGGACCUCUAAACCUGCAAGAUAAUGAAUGUCAUGUAAGCCACCUGGUCUGCAGGACUCUGCACAGUGGCCCUCGCAACCAAAUACAGUGACGUGUACCAAGGGGUCAGCAGUGCCUACGUGGCGUAUUGAUGGAUGCUUUGCUCUUCCUUUGCAUACUUUUCUGUGUCCACUGGAUUAUUUAUAAGAAUCAAGUAUUGUCACAAAAUCUUGUGUAUUGUCACAAAAGUGUUGUUAGGAAGGUUGCUUCCACAUCCGGAUCGCGAGCUGGAGUAAGCUCCUCUUCUGGAAGCCAGCCUGGUCACCCUUAAGGGGGACUUGCCCUGGGGUGUACGUCAUGUCUUCUCCAGCCCCAAGGCAGUCUGAUUCUCAGGGUGUGGUGUCAGGAAGGCACGUGGAGGCUGUUGUCCGCGGGCCAGGCAGGUGCUCUGUCUAGUGAGGUGGCGGCACAGCCACCAGAUGGUGAGCGCAGCCCAGUGUUGUGAGGGAGGGUCUGCCGGGCUCUGGUGGGUCAUCUCUCCCCUCCCCUGUCGUGUGAGGGCUUUAGUGGGGAACCACCAUGCAUGCUUGAGCUCUGGCUCUCUGGGAUCUGAGAUUUUCUGAGAUUUACAUCCUCUCUGUUGCCGAGGCUUGGAGCCAGACCCAGCCUGAACCAGGUCCCAGAAGGAUGCCCCGGGGGUUAGUCCGGAGGAGAAAAAGGAAGCCUGAGGAGGCAGGGCCACAGUGGUGGGGCCAGGAGGUGAAGCAGGGCAGUCAGGGGCUCUCUCUGACAUCUGGAGGGAAGCAUGAAAACUUCAUAGGAUGGUUGCGGGGGGACGGGGGGAGUGGUCUCCAGCUUCUAGCCAGCCAUGUGGCCAGUAUAGGCAUCAAACGCCGGGGUCUGUGGGACCCAUUGAGAGCGCCCCUCUUUGCCUGUGCAUAUGAUAGUUUAGAGAAAAUGAAGGCCUGGCAGUGGAGGCCACAGUCGCUCUGUGGGUACUGAUGUGGAGCCCUGGGGAGGCCGUCCUGGUGGAGGGUGGCACGCACCCAUACCUUGGCCGAGAGACCAGCUUGCCUCCACCAGAAAGGGACAGCUGUCCUGGUGAGGCGUGGGGCGGCAUCCCUGACAGAUGCUGGAGAUAGGUUCUCUGUAGAAGGAGCUCUGUGCCCAUCCCCUCACCAAAAGGCCCCCCACAGCUCCUGCAUUCCAGGUGGGAGACAGUGCUGUGACGUGGCAGAGCUGUGGGAAUGCCGGGACAUGAGCCCCCAGAGGUGGUGGCACAGUGUGUGGUGGCUCGUCAGCGGGUCCUGAGGGCACCGCCCAAAGGCCUUGCAGUUCCUUCAGUGUCCAUCCAUGCCUCGGGUCCCCUGGGGUGGCACAGAGCCAGAAACUUUAAACCCAGAUUCGGUCUUUCUGGUUCCCUUGUUGCGGGGGUCUGGGGGCUGGCAGAGCUUGCCACCCUGGCCCUCCGCAGCGCCCCUGGUGCCCUCGGUCCCACUGUGUCGUUGGGUGGGGGUGGGGCCCCGGCCGUGUCCUGCGGGUGGCACUCGUGCUGUCAGAGAGCUGUGAUUUAUGGGCAGUUGGAACUGUGCACGUGUGUUCACUCGGUGUGGCCCCUUCUCCUACCAUCAGGUCCCUGCGGGGCAUCCACCAUGAGCUCUUCGUGUGUCGGCAGUGCCACGUGCCCAGGCCCUUCCCUCGGGGUUCCAGGAAUACAGUGCCUCAUGGCCCCGUGCAGCCCCCUGCCCCUCCUUUGACUCCUCCCAGUGCAAGAGGAACAGGCACUCCUUUCUGGUGACCAGAACCCUCUCAUGCCCUGGCCGGGCUUCUCGUGCGUUUGGGCUCUUGCACGAACCCCACGGAGAAAAAAGAUGUUUUCCUUUGAGCUCCACCCUGGGUCACUUUUUCCAUCUGACUGGAGUGUGGAGCUUUGCUUUUCAUUAAGUAUGAAACAAGAUCUGUAUCGGCUGUGGCCCACUGAGGCAGCCCCACGAUGAGAACGUGUCCCGACUGUCCCCCGCUCCCCCCUCAACCCCCCAGCCCUCAGCCAGCAUUUUUCUGCUGCUUCUUGAACUGCAGGGCCUGGGGGUUGUGGCCUGCCCUUUCCAGGUCAUACAGUGAAACAGUAAAGGGAAAACGGCCCAGAAGCUAUGUGAGUGACAAGUGGGGCAUUGGCUGGGGCUCCCAUAUGUCGGUUUUGUCACAAUCUCUGUCCGCGGUCACCCUGCCAGAAGGGAGCGGACAGAUAGGAACCGGUGGUGGUGGGGAGGAGACGCCUCGCAAGGGGGGGCUCCUUGGACUCAGCCGCCUGGGGGAUGUGCACUGCCCUGGAGGAUGGGUGUGGGCCGGCACGGCCACCCCUCCCUGGUCUGCAAGGCCUGCAGGGGCCCAGGCUGUCCCCCUGUGGCCACACACAGGCCGGGGGCCUCUGAAGGGAGGGCCCACCACUUCACUCCCCUACCCCUGGCCUCUCUCUCUAGUGCUGCACCCGGGAGUUCACGUGACCCUGCUUCUGCGCUGGUCGGAGCUGACCAGGGCCCCCCUGUCCCCACACCCUCUUUUCUGAGCAUCCUGGCACUGUCACUGUGCUCACUUGUGCUUUGGUAUGUUUCUGUGUUAUUUUAGUUUUCUGACAUAUUUCAUGUCUUAGGUCCUUUUGAGCAUCAGCAUGGCCUUGGCCUUUUCCGAUUCCCUCAUUGUAUUGACCUGAGUCCAUGCGUGCCUUCGGAUUUCAGUUGGCUCUGUGAUCCUUAGAGAAGACUUGCGUUAUUUCGCCUUCUGGCUCUACCCCCAGGCACCAAAUGCCUCCGUGAUGUCCACAGUCUCCUUGCGCAGUUUUCUGCCCACACACAGAUCAUCGAGGGUGGUGUCAGAGGCUAAGACCUAGUUUUGUCUCCAGUGCCUGGAGAAGGCGAAUCCCAGUGGCAACUGGCUGCUGGGGACCGAGUAUAAAACAGGUCAGGCACCUCAGCUGCUACUUCCGAUUGAACCAGUUCUCUCCCUACUAUGACUGACAGGAGAGCCAGGUGGCCUGUGUCCUGCUCGUUGGCAGCAUAUGUCGCUAUGACAAAGGUUGAACGAGAUGCAGCAUUGGACCAGAAAACAGAAAUCUAUUUUCUCUUGGCAUCUUUAUGACACUUGGCUCCAGGGCCCUCCCACUGACCUGUGUGCAGGUGCAGGCACAGUGCCUGGUUAGUACCCUGUGCCCCCUGCUGAAAACAGCAGGAUGACCCUCUCCACCGAAGAAAAUAAAUGUUGUCAAAACAACAAAAAACUCACUCCCAGGGUUCCUAGCCAGAGAAGAAUCUCAUACGGUCAGCGGGAAAUGACCAGAAAGUGAUUCAACACAGAUACAGGCCUUUGAGGCUUUGCUGGGGGUGUUCGCCCCUUCACUUGCCCAGAAGCUAGUGCUGGUUGGGGUUGGUUCACCUCUUAUCCCAGGUAGUGUUAGUGCCGAGUCCUGCCCUCUUCUCUGCCCUGGAGAAAACACACUCACUUGUUACACUGGUCAGUACACAAGAACAGUCUCACCUUCAAGAAGCCGGUGAAGGAUUUCAGAAAACAUAGUGGAUGGCCAUCGGGCAUCACCUGAGUGGUGCGGACCCGUGCUUGGGCUCGCCCAUGACUGCACCCUGCUGAUCACCUGCAGACCACAGUGGGUGUCUGUGACAUCCUACCUUCACAGGGCAGUCAGAUCUUUAGGUCUGAACCACCCGCUGUUAGGCCCAGCCACUGAGCUUGUACCCACGUGACACAAAUACAGAAACUGUGUGUCGGAAGUCACUGGAUUGCCCCAGGGUUUGUAACAUCCGGUGCUGCGUCCUCCAUCAUGCGUCUUACGAUCCAGGUACAGACAGGACAAAGAAGCCCAAAAGCCAUUUCUCAGGCAGUGUGGUUGGUGGGGACCCAGAAGACUGUGAACCCAGCCCCUCGGUCAGCAACAGUUUCGCAUCACAGAGGCUCUGCUGGCAGCAGGUGGGCUUGCUCAGUUCACGGAGGGCUAAUGGUGCUGGGGGUGUGGGCACAGUCGUCCCUCUGCAAUGGCCAGGAACAAGUGUGUGCCCCACAGAGUUUGCUGGUCAGAUGGGGUGACUGUAUGGGGACCGUGACAUGUUAACCCAGCCAUAGUAAUGUGGGUCGCUUAGUCUCUUGCGGGUUUUCCACAGUGACUGGGCUCCUGCAUGUUUGGUGAGCCGCCUGGGUGGAGCACACAUGCCCGAGCCCGGUGGGCAGCCUGGAAGAGGUGCUCUGCCAUGUAGUUCUGCCCGUGUGGAGUGUGCUUUCCUGCAGGAAGACACAGGUGUCUGAACCCCAACCAGGGAGAGCCCUUCCUGGGGUGAGGAGAACCCUCCUCCUGCUUUGUGUGGCCACCAAUGGGGACCAAGUGAAUGAAGAAUGACUUCAAGGAACAGUCACAAAGACACUUGCGGACACAAAGUCAUACUUCACCACAAAAUACAGAAAUGCACAUUAAGCCUCAUUCUCUUGAGUUGUUUGUGCCUUUGCGGUGAGUGGAGAUGGGAGAGAUUGGUGAGGACAGUGGUCUUAGAAGACACGGGCUGUAGCAUGAAUCGUGAGCCCUCCUUGAAAGUGUUCCUCAGUAUCUGUCAGGAGCCCUAAAAUGCCCUUACUCUUUACCUGCCAAUUUCAUUUGAGAUGUUUAUCUCGAGGAGCUGAUUCUCAACGUAGAUCACAUCCUUCCUGAAUGAAGGACGCUUAUGGGGCAUUCCUUGUUGUAGGAAGGGCCUGCGCGAGUAGGGCUGUGGCCCACAGUUGGUUCCACAGCCUCCUGCACACCUUCCUAAAGCAUGGCUCCAAGUAGUGUCCACAAAUUGGAAAAUUCUCAUCACAAAUGUCAGAUCUCAAUAGCAUACAAAUUUAUCUUUACAGGACAACUGUAGUCCCGUAAAAGCUGAGCAGAAAGUAUGCGCAGAAAAGAUUGGAACGCAGCCCUGAGCCCUGAUGUUCCUGAGGCCUGGGUGCUCGUGGUGCGGCCACCAUGUGGUGGUGUCCCGGCCAAGUUUGUUGGCUCUGAAUGGAACAGCCACGGACCCUCAGUUCCCAGUGUGCUUUCGGUUUACCUUGAGGGAAAUAGAAACCUCCUGGGACACAAUGUGCUCUGUGGGCUCCAGCAGGAGGGGCCGUUGAGACCCCACUGUGAUGCCAGAUCUUCGGGACUGGAGUGUGGGCAGCAGUGGUUGCUGGUAGAGGGGGGAGUGGCCCCCCCUACCCCCCCCCCCACUGUCAGCUGUCGAUUUCCUGGCAGGUGCCGAGGCGUUGCCUUGUGCUGUGGGUUGGAGCCCUGGCUCAGUGGCACCUGUGUAGGAAGGCCUGGCAGCCUGGGACACCCACUCUGUCUGCAGGCUUCUCAGGGCAGGGAGGGGGCCCGCAGAGCUGUGUGUACAUCAGCCGGCUGUCGCUUAGCAAGGGGUUUCUUUGUUGGCCUUUUCCAUAGUCGUGCCUUCUCAGUGUGCAGCAGCUGCACUGGCCCUCCUGACUCUGGUGACAUGUAGCAUUCAUGGCGGCCAUCAGCCAGGGAAGGGAAGGGCCCCAUAUUUUAAAUGAAGUUGGCAUGUUCUUUUCAGGGGGACAUGUUUCUUUUUUACCGACAUUUGGAGCCACACAGUGGAUACAGUUCUUUACAGCAGGAGUAGGUUUCAGAAAAAGCAAGGAAGUGUCCCAUUUUGCUCUGAUCUUGUGGUCCAGUGCACAGACCACGUGUCCAGAUUUUGUCAGUGCCACAGGCCCUUUCCAUGGUAGUGUUCCACCAGUUGGGAUAGUUACAGUGUAAGCAGUAUUUUACUCCCCAUUUAUGGUUCAUCUGCUGGCUGUAAUACAGAGGGAAGAAUGUGCUGAAAUGUAUUAAUUCCUGAUUGAUGGGCUGCCAGGGCAUUGCCAGGGCUGCUGAAAUCGUGGCUUGCCAGCCUGGCUCCUGGCAAGGCCGUGCCUGGGGAGUGACCACAGACAGCCUGUACACAGGCGUAUGCGAAUUGCUGCAGAGGCCAUGGCCAUAAACCUCAUUUUAGUCUUUGUGCGUGAAACCCAGAAGCUGGGCACUGGGGAGGGCCACACCCCAGUCUAGCUGUGAGCUGGGUCAGAGGACUCCCAACUGGGGUGUAAGUAGCAUGAAGACAUGAGUGGGCUUUGGGAGUUGAUGUGUCUGAAUGACUGAUCGAGGACCAAGAAUGGAGAGUGAAAGCAGCUUAGUCUUUUGUAAAUGGCCCCAGCCGGCAUUGCCUUGUUGGAGCUGUCAGUGAGAGCUGGAGUGUCCAUCAGAGCAGCAAACUCUUCCAGUUAGCCGGUACUUUCAGAUCCUACAUCAUCUCCACAACAAAGGUAUUUGGAACAUGGCUUUCUGCAAGUGAAUUUCUUGGCUUUUCGCUGUGUUAUUACUGGUAAAGUGUGAUGGCAUCUUGUGCAAGUAACCUCCCAUUUCACCAUCCAACUCGGGGGGCACAUGGGUGGCCUGCUGGUUCUCAUUUAGCACCAGGACUCGCGCCUUCAAGCCCAGCCCCCCGCCAGACUGUGAGCCAUGCAUGUGAGGGCCGGGCCAUAUUCCGCCGCAUCCCACUGCUCCCCUCACAUGCCUGGCACACCAUCUGGGCUCAGUGGAGCUCGUGGCUUCUCAAGGGCUCUGACAUCUUCUGUCAGGUGGUUUUUCAGAACCCAUUUAUCGUUUCCUUCACAGACGAUCUGUUGCCCAUUACUGGUAUCGCAGUGGGUAUUUUAAACGUUGACAGUUGACCAGUUUAUAAAACAGGUGAAUGCUGUACCUCAUUAUAUGUUUUUGAAUGUGUUUAUGGCUAGUGCUGUUGACCAUUCUUUAUGUUUUGAACUGAUUUACUUUCAUAAGUAACUUUCUUGGGUAGUUUUCAGCAGGCUUAUAUAUAUUUUCUCAUUGCACAGUAAUUUUUGGUAGAGUUUUCACAAAUGCAGAUGUUUCCCCAAUUUGUUUUACUUUCUAAUUCUUUUCCUACUUGACACCAUUUAAAAUUUGUAUAUGGUGAUGUAGACCAGUUUUCCUUAUGUCCCGGACUUUUCCUUGGGAGGAUUUUUCUCACCUGUGCACACGAGCAGUCAGGAGUCUCUGGGGCUGACACUGCAAUCUGGCUGUCAUCAUCACCCUGGGUGAGAUGUCUGCUCAUGUUUGGGUGACAUUUCAGCAUGGGGAGCACCCCACAUGCACCCCUUGACCCCCCUGGAGGUCGUGCACCCACACUUUCAGGAAUGUGCAGUCUUGUGAUGGUUAAUCUUUCUUUCCAUUUGGCUAUAUUAUUAAUAGUUUGAGUGAGACAGCAUUUUGCUGAUUGAUUUAAAGACCCAUUUAUCCUUCGAGGAAUUAUUUUUGACUUAAUUAGGUUAAAGGGAGUAAAUCAGUUUAAUGGAUUGAUUUAUAAUCAGUUUGUGCUUUCAGAUUAUCAUGACUCAGGCAAGCUUACUGUCUGUAAAAAUGUCUGCCAUCUGCCUUCUGAAGGAUGGGAGUCUUUAUGGUCCCCUGAUGGCAACACAGCCCACGAAAGAAGGUAGCCUGCCCCUUUCUACUUGUGUUUCUUUGUGUCCCUAAAUGCUGUGACUGUAUGUGACUGAGCGCUUUCGUCCUGUGACCUGACGAGAGGUCCCCAGCACCUCUGGUGGCCACUGUGGGCUCUGAGGACACUGGGCCCCGGGGUCCUGGACCCUCACCUGUGUGUAUGUGGAGGGCGCGAGCAUGCAGCAUGGUUGGCUGUCUGUCCUCCCCCCCCUCCCUCUUCCUGGCUCCGCACCACUUCCCUGUGGACAUCGGCAGCCUGUGUGCUCCUCAGACACUAACUGCCCUCAUGGUCCUGGUCAGUGCCCCUCCUGUCCUGGUGCGUACGUUCUACUGUGGGGAGGCAGCACCGAGGCCGCGUCACUGAGCCCUCUGAGUGGCCUCCCAGUGAGCUGAGCACCUCAGCCAGGCUCCCUUCUCUCCCCAGAGCUCCAGGGGACCGGCUGUUCCUCUGAAUGGGGACACAGAUGACUUCAUACACUCAGCAGGCAUCUGUGAAAUGUCCUCUGUGUGCUGCGUCCUGGGUGUACAGUGAUGGAUUAGCGUCCUUUGUUGGGGAAGUCUUACCAGCUCUGGGCUCAGAGGCGCUACAUCACCAUGCGGCCAUGGCAGAGAGCCUACAGAUCGGGGCCUCUUACCCCAAGAGCACAAGGGCUCCUGCUCCCUCCUGGCAUGCCUGCUUAGAUGUGCGCUCCCCCAGGGCCCCUGGGUCCAAGCCCUGCAACAUCCAAAACAAAGCACUGCAACAGGAACACCUAGAUCUACUGAUUUCACUAGAUAAAAACUCCCAUGUCAAUCAUGUUAGGAUGUCCCUGAAAGGGGACGGCCAUCUCGCCAGCACGACGGAAGAAACUGAAGGGUAACCAAUCACCGAGCAACAGCACAACCUGGCACGAAAGAAAGACCCACCUGAACCUAAACCCGGAACUGCUGCAGCUAAAAAACCCUACCCCACCAUACCCAGGCAUGACUUCCCCGACUCCUCUCACUCCCUGAGUCACGGAACCUUACCCAGAACCUUAGUACCCAAUAAAGCCUUAAACUGCAAAAAAAUUCUUUUUGACUCUAACUCCUAUCUUUACCCUUCCCAACUCCUGACACUAACAUUUGGUGUCGAAACCUGGGAGAGGUGGUAGCUCUCCUCCCUCGGUUGAACCCCCCCCUCCUCACCAAGCCAGAUGCCAACCACCCUACUCCCAAGAGCCUACAGGAGCUGGUAAGUAGGACAGACCCCUCCUUCCCCCCUCCAACUAUGGCUGACACCCAGGAGAGACGUCUUGCAAGUCAGUCUCCUCUCCCCCGCAUGCUGUAAGGCCCACACGCGGAAAGGCCCGCACGCCAAUAGGCCCCUUAUUGCAACGCGAGGGACGCCUCGCCUUGCCACACCAAUGGGGAGUAACGAGUCUAAACCGACUGCAUCUCUUACCCCCCUCCAAAGUCUGUUAAACUUCCAGCUCCUGGGCUUACAAGGCGAACUUCGUGGUAACCGACUUGUCCGCCUUUGCACUGUAGUCUGGCCUCAAAACAAAUUAGAUAAUGAUUUUCAAUGGCCGCCUGAGGGGUUUUUACAAUACCAAAUCUUAACCAAUCUGGACAACUUCUGCCAUCAUCUGGGAAAAUGGGGAUAAAUACCCUACAUUAUGGCCUUUUGGGACCUCAGGUCUCGCCCCCACGUUCCUCCCGCCCCUCUGAAUGUGUGCUCCUUAUCCGCCCACAACCCCCUAAUGACCCCAGCUCACCAACUUCCCCGAUCUCCGACCCGUUAGAGGAUCUAGCCACGCCACCCACCAGCCCUCGCCCCCCUCCACACUCCAAACCUCCAGCCAUCCCGCUCGCUUCCCAUAUCAUCCCAAACUUGUGCUCAGGCCCCACCCAGUGAACAGACCCCAGUGGCCAUCUUACCUCUCGUGAGGUAGCAGGACCUGAAGGCCUGGCUCACGUUCAUGUCCCCUUCUCCCUCCAAGACUUGUCCGCAAUUGAAAAGCAACUAGGGUCAUUCUCAGCAGACCCCACGCAAUAAAUUAAGGAAUUCCAAUACCUCACCCAAGCCUACAGUCUCACAUGGCAAGACAUUCAUGUGAUCCUCAAAUCUACCCUCACCCCUGAGGAGAGGGAGCGCAUCCGGGCCGCAGCCAGAGAGCAUGCAGACCAAACCCACAUGACUGACCCACUAUGCCCGUAGGUGCCGAUGCUGUCCCGGUGGCCGAUCCCAAUUGGAACGACCAACACGCAGGCAAUGGUCACCGGCGCCAGGACCAGAUGAUCCAAUGCCUACUAGCAGGCAUGAGGGCAACCUCAAACAAAUCAGUAAAUUUUAACAAACUUCAAGAAAUAAUACAAGACCCCCAUGAAAACCCCGCAACCUUCCUUAGCUGGCUCACAGAGGCACUUACUCAAUGUACCAGACUAGACCCUACCAUCCCUGCCAGGGCCACGGUAUUGGCCACCUAUUUUAUUUCCCAAUCAGCCCCUGAUAUUCGAAAAAAACUAAAAAGGGCCGAAGACGGCCCUCAAACCCCUAUGGUUGACCUGGUAAAGAUGGCUUUUAAAGUUUUUUUUUUUUUCAAUAUAUGAAAUUUAUUGUCAAAUUGGUUUCCAUACAACACCCAGUGCUCAUCCCAAAAGGUGCCCUCCUCAGUACCCAUCAUCCA